CUGGUAGACUGUCCAGGUUUCACAGGCAUACACCAGUGAGACUCCCCUGGAUCAUUCCACUCUCCAGGGGAUGGUAUUGCCCACUUUGGGAACCUCUAAUUGUGGACGUCCUUGGAAAGUAUACUGUCAAGGUGUCUGACAACAUCACACAAAACAUCAUGCCAAAAAGCAUGGGAACAAACUCACAGCUUUGCUUCACUCCACUAAUGCCUGGAAAAGUAUGAGAGCAUCAUCUAUUAUCUAGAGGCCAUGCAAGCCUGCCAUCAUGAAGCUAAUGCAAUAAUGCAAUACAAUACAAAUAAAAGAAUAAGAAAGACAGCAGUUUGGGGAAAUAGUGAGUCCUUCCCCAGUAAUCAUGGUCUUUGGGCUUACUUAACACUGCGCUACUGUUUGCUUGCUUCUGGAUGUUGGACUAAUCUGUUUCAAUUUUUCUAUUUUAUAACUGGUACAAAAGUAUUAUUUUAUUUUAUUAUUAUCCCAUCCCUUUCUCUGCCCUGGAAGUUUGCCACCUCAUAUGUGGAAGACAGGGCUGGAGCAGGAGGUGGAAGAUGCCGGGCCUGGCCCCAACUGCCGAGCAGAUGGAAGGCUCUGGGUACGAGCACACCUGCAUUCUGAGCUCUUCUCAUCCUACAAACUUGGGCCCAAGCAGUGAAAAAAGAUGGACAUUGGAUGACGCUCCCUCAUCUCUAGACCUGGCUGGUUGAUAGACUGAUUCUCGGCACCCACUGUUCUCCUUACUUCUGUGCUCAAUAUAGAGAUGAAUGAGCAGAAAAUUAUUCCCAAGCCCUGUCCUCACCAGCCUUCCUCUUGGGUCUUCUGGUGAUCUUGCUCAUGGGACAUCCUCUAGAAGCAUGACUGCUUUACCACCAUUUUAGCACAUUACUGACUUUGCCCAGUUCCUUCCUAACUCCUUCCAUCCUUGAAAGAGCUAAAGGAAACCUGAGGUAGAAUGUAGGCUGCUUGAAGGCGAGCCUUCUUUCCUCAAUCGGCACUUGUAGAGUGCGCUGGACACUCAUUCAGCAUCAUAUUCAGUAAUAUCAGUAUUAAAAAUAUAAUCAUAUUCUUACAUUUAGCAAGGCCCCUUGGAGUGGAGAAUUUCCUGCAUCCAAAUGACACCAAUCACCUUCUGGGUUAUUCUCCUCCCACUGCCCAUCACCUCUGCACUCACAGGCCAGUGAAUUGGUGAGAGAAUAUUGGUUUACACGGAGCACUGUUACAUGUGAAAGUCAAGGGAAACUCAAAGAUAGGGUUCUGAGCAUGAUCAACUUAUUAAGUUAGGGUAGCGGUGACUAGUAAAUGAGGUCAAUGGCCUCUCUCAGUGAAGGACCAAAGACUGGGCCGAAUUCUUUUAAUCAUUACUGUUGUGUGGUAUAGUUUGAGAUCUGGUACUGA